UACGUAGGGUGCAAGCGUAAUCGGAAUUACUGGGCGUAAAGCGUGCGCAGGCGGUUAUGUAAGACAGGUGUGAAAUCCCCGGGCUUAACCUGGGAACUGCAUUUGUGACUGCAUAGCUAGAGUACGGUAGAGGGGGAUGGAAUUCCGCGUGUAGCAGUGAAAUGCGUAGAUAUGCGGAGGAACACCGAUGGCGAAGGCAAUCCCCUGGACCUGUACUGACGCUCAUGCACGAAAGCGUGGGGAGCAAACAGG
rnacentral:rRNA from 1 species